rnacentral:rRNA from 1 species
UUGAGAGUUUGAUCCUGGCUCAGAACGAACGCUGGCGGCAGGCCUAACACAUGCAAGUCGAGCGAGAUCUUCGGAUCUAGCGGCGGACGGGUUAGUAACGCGUGGGAACGUACCCAAAGGUAGGGAAUAGCCACUGGAAACGGUGAGUAAUACCCUAUGUGCCCUUCGGGGGAAAGAUUUAUCGCCUUUGGAUCGGCCCGCGUAAGAUUAGAUAGUUGGUGGGGUAAUGGCCUACCAAGCCUACGAUCUAUAGCUGGUUUUAGAGGAUGAUCAGCCACACUGGGACUGAGACACGGCCCAGACUCCUACGG